GACGAACGCUGGCGGCGUGCUUAACACAUGCAAGUCGAACGAAGUGGCGAACGGGUGAGUAACGCGUAAUAAACCUGCCCUUCAGAGGGGGACAACAGUUGGAAACGACUGCUAAUACCGCAUACUGAAGGAGGGGAUUGCGUCUGAUUAGCUAGUUGGAGGGGUAACGGCCCACCAAGGCGAUGCUCAGUAGCCGGGCUGAGAGGAUGACCGGCCAAAAUGGGAAUGGGACACGGCCCAGACUCCUAAGGGAGGGAGCAGUGGGGAAUCUUCCGCAAUUGACGGAAGUCUGACGGGUCAACGCCGCGUGAGUGAUGACGGCCUUCGGGUUGUAAAGCUCUGUUAAUCGGGACGCGGUACCGGAAUAGAAAGCCACGGCUAACUACGUGCCAGCAGCCGCGGUAAUUC
rnacentral:rRNA from 1 species